rnacentral:rRNA from 1 species
CCCUUAGAUGUUCUGGGCCGCACGCGCGCUACACUGAUGCAUUCAACGAGUCCAACCUUGACCGAGAGGUCCGGGUAAUCUUUGAAACUGCAUCGUGAUGGGGCUAGAUUAUUGCAAUUAUUAAUCUUCAACGAGGAAUGCCUAGUAAGCGUGAUUCAUCAAAUCGCGUUGAUUACGUCCCUGCCCUUUGUACACACCGCCCGUCGCUCCUACCGAUUGAGUGUGUUGGUGAGGAGUUUGGAUUGGCCUCGGAAGGUGGUUCACCACCGUCCGUAGCUGAGAAGUUCUCCAAACCGCCCCACUUAGAGGAAGGAGAAGUCGUAACA